GACGAACGCUGGCGGCAUGCCUAAUACAUGCAAGUCGAGCGAACAGAUGAAGUGCUUGCGCUUCUGACGUUAGCGGCGAACGGGUGAGUAACACGUAAGGAAUCUACCUAUAAGCGGGGGAUAACAUUCGGAAACGGGUGCUAAUACCGCAUAAUAUCUUCUUCCGCAUGGAAGAAGAUUGAAAGACGGCUCUGCUGUCACUUAUAGAUGACCUUGCGGUGCAUUAGUUAGUUGGUGGGGUAAUGGCCUACCAAGACGAUGAUGCAUAGCCGACCUGAGAGGGUGAUCGGCCACAUUGGGACUGAGACACGGCCCAAACUCCUACGGGAGGCAGCAGUAGGGAAGCUUCCGCAAUGGGCGAAAGCCUGACGGAGCAAUGCCGCGUGAGUGGAGAAGGCCUUCGGGUCGUAAAACUCUGUUAUAAGAGAAGAACAAAUUGUAGAGUAACUGCUACAGUCUUGACGGUAUCUUAUCAGAAAGCCACGGCUAACUACGUGCCAGCCGCCGCCGUAA
rnacentral:rRNA from 1 species